UACGUAGGGGGCAAGCGUUGUCCGGAUUUAUUGGGCGUAAAGAGCGUGUAGGCGGCCAUGCAGGUCAGCUGUGAAAACUCGAGGCUCAACCUCGAGACGUCGGUUGAAACCGCAUGGCUAGAGUCCGGAAGAGGAGAGUGGAAUUCCCGGUGUAGCGGUGAAAUGCGCAGAUAUCGGGAAGAACACCCGUGGCGAAGGCGGCUCUCUGGGACGGUACUGACGCUGAGACGCGGAAGCGUGGGGAGCGAACAGG
rnacentral:rRNA from 1 species